AAUUAUAAGAAGAUAAGACAAUGCAAAAGAAAAUUUAGAGAAAUAAAUAAAAAUGGACCAACAGGAAUUCAGAAGGCACUGAAUCUCAGUAAAUGUAACCAGCCCGGCAAAAUGGAACUUCACAUGCUAGAAUUUUUUGCUUUAGAGACAAGCAGCUUUUCCAAACUUCCUUGAGCUCAGGGAUAAUCAUCACCCACUUGCAGUCUUCAGCCAGAUGAAUAGAUAGAAUAUGCAGAUGCUGGCACCUGGAGAAGACCUUUAUGUACCUGGACACAGACAGAUGGUGAUUUGAGGAAAAUGGAGUGUUUCUGUCUCCUUGGAGCUAGCUUUGAAUACAACCUUGUUUUCGUUUCACCUAAAUAAAUGGCCUCUUCCAAAUUGGUCAGCAACUAGGUAUAUGGGCCUAAGUGGCCAAUAGCAUUAAUAUCACGAUUUUUGUUUUGUUCUUUUCAGGCAGCGUCUUGUUAUAUAAUAGUUCAGGCUGGCCUUAAGCUCGUGAUGUAGCCGAGGAGGUCUUCAAACUCCUUAGCCAUCCUCCUGGCUCAGCCUCCUGCGUGCUGUCAUGCGCCACCAUACCUGGCCCAGUAUCAUUUUAACAGGUGCGAUGACAUAGAAUUUGGGCCAGAUUUCUAGCUAGAAUUUAAUCCGUUUGCUCUUGUUUCAUUUAUUUUCGUGAUUAACAUCUGUUCAUGACCAUUGAUGACCAGUUUUCUCUUCGUGCACGCUCUUGUGCGUGCAUAUUUUGUUUUUUGUUCUUGUUUUUUUCUGGGAUCAAACUCCGGACCUUG